GGGUCGUUAGCUCAGUGGUAGAGCAACUGGCUUUUAACCAGUUGGUCGUAGGUUCGAGCCCUACACGACCCACCA
rnacentral:tRNA from 1 species